UAAUUCAACAUCUCAGCCGGUGUCAUGGAGUACAUUUUUGGUUUAGGCAGCUUUGCCCCAGGUUCUAAUUCGAUGGCACAAUCAGUGGCUCGAUGAGG